UAGGUUCAUGGUGAUACAGGUUAACUUUGAGGUUCAUGCAGAUGGUGUUUAAAACUAUCAGUCAGGAAAAACAAACUCAUUUGAACACAGCUUGAGUCUUCAUAUAUAAAAUGAUGGCAGUGCUUUUAAUAUGUUCAUGGUGAUACAGGUUAACUUUGAGGUUCAUGCAGAUGGUGUUUAAAACUAUCAGUCAGGAAAAACAAACUCAUUUGAACACAGCUUGAGUCUUCAUAUAUAAAAUGAUGGCAGUGCUUUUAAUAUGUUCAUGGUGAUACAGGUUAACUUUGAGGUUCAUGCAGAUGGUGUUUAAAACUAUCAGUCAGGAAAAACAAACUCAUUUGAACACAGCUUGAGUCUUCAUAUAUAAAAUGAUGGCAGUGCUUUUAAUAUGUUCAUGGUGAUACAGGUUAACUUUGAGGUUCAUGCAGAUGGUGUUUAAAACUAUCAGUCAGGAAAAACAAACUCAUUUGAACACAGCUUGAGUCUUCAUAUAUAAAAUGAUGGCAGUGCUUUUAAUAUGUUCAUGGUGAUACAGGUUAACUUUGAGGUUCAUGCAGAUGGUGUUUAAAACUAUCAGUCAGGAAAAACAAACUCAUUUGAACACAGCUUGAGUCUUCAUAUAUAAAAUGAUGGCAGUGCUUUUAAUAUGUUCAUGGUGAUACAGGUUAACUUUGAGGUUCAUGCAGAUGGUGUUUAAAACUAUCAGUCAGGAAAAACAAACUCAUUUGAACACAGCUUGAGUCUUCAUAUAUAAAAUGAUGGCAGUGCUUUUAAUAUGUUCAUGGUGAUACAGGUUAACUUUGAGGUUCAUGCAGAUGGUGUUUAAAACUAUCAGUCAGGAAAAACAAACUCAUUUGAACACAGCUUGAGUCUUCAUAUAUAAAAUGAUGGCAGUGCUUUUAAUAUAGGUUAACGCAGACAGACGCAUUUUGCCGGAAAACGAAUCUGACAUGCCACCUCGAGAUUUUAACCAAGGAAAGACAACUUGAUGUGCUUUGAUUUGAGGGGUCACUCAAUGCUGAACGAAAAUUAGGGACAUUGCUAUGUGAAGAAAUGUUAACAUUGCCGCCUAUGGGAAAACAAUUA